ensembl:lncRNA SLC66A1L solute carrier family 66 member 1 like (pseudogene)
UUCCCUGAUCUCUCGGAGGCGCCGGCUGCUGGCCAACGCAGGGCAGCCUCCUGCGUGCGUGCUGUGGGUUUCUCCUUCAGUUUCCUCUCAUUGCCUGAGGUUGGGCCCGAACACGGCGGUACAUUUCCUUGAGAGUCUUCUACAUUCAUGCUGUAGAAGCUAUGAAAGUCGUGGGAAACUAUAGAGUCAACACUGCAAACUCAAGCACUGAUACGUCCGGAGAGCACUUGACCUGCCUUAGAAGUCAGCUCUUUGUAGCCUACAGAAAUGGAAGAGUGGAUGAAGCAGUCUCUCUGGGUUUUCUGGAUUGCUGGAUAGGUGGAGACCUGACAAAUUUCAAAGGCUGCUACCUGACUAACCAACUGCCUAUUCAGUUCUGAAGAAGAUCUACGGAAGGAACUUCAUUUCUGCUGUUUGCAUUGGCCAUGAUUGGGAACUUCACGUAUGGACUUGGUGUGGUUUUAAAGGCACCAGCUGCUACGUGUCACAAGAAUACUUACUUUGUGCAUCAUCUUCCUUGGCUUAUUGCAAGUUUUGGAAUCUUAUUCCUUAACUCUUUUGUGUCUUUUGCCAUCAGAUUGCCAUUAGAGAAUAAACAUGUAUAGCUACUUAAUAUAUCACCCAAAAAGUACAUAUAUAUAUAUAUAUAUAUAUUCUAAGAAGUGUAAAUAGCUAAUGCUAUAGUCAUUUCAUUAUUAUAUUUGAAAUGUUCAUUUAUAAGGAAAGUCUUCUCUCUCCCAAAGUCUCCUAAUUAUUAUUAUUCUAGCAAACGAUCAAAUUCAGAUGAAGAUUUCUUGGUUUCUUUGGUUCUUCUGAUAAAAAAAAAAAAGUGGGGCCAAGUUUAGAAGCA